UUUAUUAUAGUGCGAAACAUGCAUUAAUAGAUUUUAGAUGAUUUUUUUUUUUUUUUGAGAAAUAGGUAGCACACUACCCGCUUCGUUUAUUUUAUUUAGAAAUAAACUUAGCUGAAAAUGUGAAUCAAUUAGGAUUCGAACUUGGGUCUCGGGUACCAACCAGCAAGUCCUUUGCCACUUGUUCUAGGGACGGUUGGUUGGUUACAUGAAAUUUAUUAUGAUGCUUCUUUUAGUAACACUUUCUUUUUUUUUUACUAUAUUUUAGAAAAUACCAUAUACCAAACGAGCCCUACGCGCCGAUAGGUCCUCACCAAAGAUUUGCUUACAAUUGUAAUCACCUUAGCAAAGCAUUUAGUAGAUACAAAACUUUGGA
rnacentral:lncRNA from 1 species